CCUACGGGCGGCAGCAGUGGGGAAUAUUGGACAAUGGGGGGAACCCUGAUCCAGCCAUGCCGCGUGUGUGAAGAAGGCCCUCGGGUUGUAAAGCACUUUCAGUGAGGAAGAACGCCUGGUGGUUAAUACCCAUCAGGAAAGACAUCACUCACAGAAGAAGCACCGGCUAACUCCGUGCCAGCAGCCGCGGUAAUACGGAGGGUGCGAGCGUUAAUCGGAAUUACUGGGCGUAAAGCGCGCGUAGGUGGCUUGAUAAGCCGGUUGUGAAAGCCCCGGGCUCAACCUGGGAACGGCAUCCGGAACUGUCAAGCUAGAGUGCAGGAGAGGAAGGUAGAAUUCCCGGUGUAGCGGUGAAAAGCGUAGAGAUCGGGAGGAAUACCAGUGGCGAAGGCGGCCUUCUGGACUGACACUGACACUGAGGUGCGAAAGCGUGGGUAGCAAACAGGAUUAGAUACCCCUGUAGUC
rnacentral:rRNA from 1 species